GUGUUCAUAGUCUAAUGGAUAUGACAAAGGUCUUUUAAACCUGUAGUAUAUGUUCAAAUCCUAUCGGAUGCA
rnacentral:tRNA from 1 species